GUCAGCCCAUUUCUUCCUUCUCUCUCUAUUCUUCUCUGUCAAAGUUGAAGAUCUGCAGUGGAAUGAAGAAAUCGAUGUGCUCCUCCACAGCAAUCUAGAGGACGGGCGGUGCUACUGAUGGAGAGAUGGUUUGCAGAGUUUGUCUGAGCCCUUGCAACUGCGAGAGCAGGGGAAGCAGCAUCAGCAUGUAUGUCUGGAAGGAGUUCAAAAAGGGAGGGGGAAUGGCGUGCCCCAGUUUGCCACGCAUACUGCGAGAAUGACAAUGGUCGGAGCUUCGGCAUCUAUGUCUGUGAUGCCAACGGAAUCUUUCCGAUCGUCCCAUGCUCUACAAGGAACAAGUUUGCUCAGUUGUCAGGCGCUUAUAUGAAUUCCAAAGCGCACAACCACUGGUAUGUUGUGGAUGUGUACAGGGGGCACAAACUACUCGCCUUGGUGGUGAUGAUUGGAAGAAGUUCAUUGCGGACUUCAAGCUGGGCCAUUGGGAGUUGGUCCUUUUCUGUAUAUGACAGUACGAAUGCCCAAAGAAGUUGUCGGAGAGGACGGCAGGGAAAAGGUGGG